rnacentral:rRNA from 1 species
GUCUACGGCCAUGCCACCCUGAACAAGCCCGAUGUCUGAUCUCGGAAGCUAAGCAGGGUCAGGCCUGGUUAGUACUUAAAUGAGAGACCACCUGGAAGACCAGGUGCUGUAGGUG